CCUACGGGGGGCAGCAGUCGAGAAUCAUUCACAAUGGGGGAAACCCUGAUGGUGCGACGCCGCGUGGGGGAAUGAAGGUCUUCGGAUUGUAAACCCCUGUCAUGUGGGAGCAAAUUAAAAAGAUAGUACCACAAGAGGAAGAGACGGCUAACUCUGUGCCAGCAGCCGCGGUAAUACAGAGGUCUCAAGCGUUGUUCGGAAUCACUGGGCGUAAGGCGUGCGUAGGCUGUUUCGUAAGUCGUGUGUGAAAGGCGCGGGCUCAACCCGCGGACGGCACAUGAUACUGCGAGACUAGAGUAAUGGAGGGGGAACCGGAAUGCUCGGUGUAGCAGUGAAAUGCGUAGAUAUCGAGAGGAACACUCGUGGCGAAGGCGGGUUCCUGGACAUUAACUGACGCUGAGGCACGAAGGCCAGGGGAGCGAAAGGGAUUAGAUACCCGAGUAGUC
rnacentral:rRNA from 1 species